ensembl:snRNA U6 U6 spliceosomal RNA
UUGCUUCAGCAGCAAGUAUACUAAAAUUAAAACAUUUAGAGAAAAUUAGCAUGAUCCCUGCACAACUAUGACCCACAAAUUAAGAAAUAAUCAUUAAAUAGUU